GCUAAGGCCAGUAGUACACAGGGUCAAAUAUUUAACAAGGAAAGAACUCAAGAAACAACAUCAGUUUGACACUAAUGAAAAUUUGAUCGAGUCAAACAAGAUGUUUGAGCAUUGGUUUCUUUUCGGACAAAUAUUUGACCCUGUGUACUAGCAGCUUAAGGCCAGUAGUACACAGGGUCAAAUAUUUGACAAGGAAAGAACUCAAGAAACAACAUCAGUUUGACACUAAUGAAAAUUCGAUCGAGUCAAACAAGAUGUUUGAGCAUUGGUUUCUUUUUGGACAAAUAUUUGACCCUGUGUACUAGCAGCUUAAGAAUGAAGUAAAAUACUAUAAGAGCCGAUGCACACGAGCGUUAACUGACGCUGCGUGAAUUCACGCAGCGUCGCCGCAGCGUUCCUGUGGGGCAUGCGUUGACAUUGCGUGCCGCACACGGUGCGGCGCGGUUGCGGUGCGGUAGCGUUGCGUUCUCGUGUGCAUCCUCCCAUUUGAUUGUGUGUAACUCAGGACGCACUUGCGUGCACGCUGCGUGGACGCGCCGCCCGUGUGCAUCGGCCGACAGUCAGAGCCGCAUUUAUCCGUUGCUAACCGUCGUUAACCGUGUUUAACUGCUGCUCAGUUAGCGACGGUGAGGAACGGAAAAAUGCGGAUUCCCCGGUUAGGAAAGGAUAUGUCAUUCCCCUUGGGAUAGUCGACUUAAUAGUAUAACAAUUAUAACAUUGAAUUGAAAAAUGGUCCCAUAAACUCUUAAAUAUGUAUUCAAUGGAUGAUUUCAAAAAUACUACAUCGUUUAUCACAGAAGGAUUUCAACAAAGUUACUGAAAAUGUACCAUGCAUUCAUUCAACAAAUAAAAAAUCACGAAUUUCGCAUUAAGAAUAAUUGACUGUGACCAACGGACAUUUCAAAACAUUUAUACUGGUUUACUAGUCGUCUAAUUACACGAAAAAAAUAUUAAGGAGACCUCAAGGAUGAAAUUUGCCACUUUUUGAAUGUGCGAUUUGCACUAAGUUGCUCUUCCGUUCCGUGGUUGGUGCCUUACUUUCACUCUCUUUAAUCUCUCAUCCUCUUUCUCUCUGGAUUCCCUUAUUGAACCGUAUUGAUCUUAGCGCAACUCCAAGCACCUCCCAUUAGAAUAACAAUAAUGAAAAGAUCAAGAAAUUUGCAUUAGACUUAAGUUAGCUUUACGUUUGAAAACGCAGUCUGUUAACAACCAUCAUCGGGAUAUCAUGUAAUAUUACCAGAUAUCACAGCGUCCUGUCCGGUAAACAAAUGUCCAACAAAAAAAAACUUGAUUUUAAUAGUUUAUUUUCAUCGAAGAAUAGCGGUAAAAUAAGUCAUUAUUUAUAAUGCGGGCUUCUAUUCAACUCAUAGAGUUUUUAUCUUAGAAAUUUCACUUUUAGGAAUAAGCACUUUUUUAUUAUUACAGUUCGGAUUCACUGGUUGGGUCACGACUGCGCCCCAAGUAGCGAAUCGUGUUCGUUCGUUGGGGCAACUGACAACUGAUCAAAAUGCUCUCGACACACGCAAGUGACGAGAAAUACGUCAGGAAACACUCACAUACUUACGCAAACGUUCUGCAUACACGAGCUGUGAUGUGAUGGUGAUCAGACGUCAAACUCGUUUUGACAUCUAUUUUGACAUUGACAGUGCUUUUUAGUUGGGUUUUGCCCCAACCAGUAAACAUACAACCAUCGAGAUAGCCCAUCUAACGAGCUGUCAACGAACGAAUCGUCACUGUAUUAUAUUUUAUUAGGAACGCUUUACCAGAUGACCAAAAUACAAGCUCUCCGAUUUUUGUUCCUUGAUGGCUCAAAUGUGGAUUUCGAAUAAAUAUUUAUUUUGAUGGGCAUUUACUGAUUUUUUGAGCUUUUUACCUCAAGGUCGCUUCUUCGCUUCUGAAAAUGCAUAUGAAUUUACAUAAAAAAAAUCCCAAAAAAUUGGGAUAUUGUGGUAACAUGAGUUUGUUAACGAUCCAUGAGGCCUAUGAAACCACUUUCAAUCGAUUCUCCGUACAUUUUUACAUUGUAAAAGUAUGACUUCGUAAGUCGCUUUCAUGGUUUUCAAAAGAUACAGAAUUCUUUAGCACAAAACAUUAUAUUUUUGGGGACAUCAAGGCAAAAUUGCCAAGAUACAAGUUUGUUUGAACUUUCUAACUUCAUUUAUUAGAUGGCUCAAAUGUAUUUUUCGAAUAAAAACUCAUUUGGAUGGGUGUUUGUUGAUAUUCUCCCUAGAUAAAUGGCAUGUCUAACCAGAAAUGCGAUAAUAUGGGAUAAUAUGGUGAAACGGACAUGACAAUUCAUGCGAUCAAGUUUGACAUUUUCAUUUGUAUCGGCAGUUUAUAUGAGCUUGAUGGGUUGAGUUAUCGCUUCUGAAAAUACAUAUGAAUUUCUAUCGAAAUCCCUAGAAAUUGGAAAAUUGGGGUAAAAUGAGUAUGUUAACGAUCCGUGCGACAUAUUAAACUGGUUUCAUUGGAUUCCCCGCACAUUUUUACAUUAGAAAAGUAUGACUUCGAAAACCGCAUUUGUGGUUUUCACAAGUUAUAGGAUUCUUUGACUGUUUUGUACCUUAUUCUCCCACUGUGGCGCUGUCUUAUGGAGGUUACUGACAAAUAUUAAAAAUACUUCACAUAACAUAUGAAAAAAUAGUCUGAUAGAGAUGAUGGGACGUCUAAACAAGCAUUGGUUAACGUCAAACGGAUAGAAAUAAGAUUUGAAAUUAAUAGUUAUUUAUGUAACGAGUUGCAAAAAGUUGAUUUUUCCAGCACGAGUCGUACAUUUAUCCAACGAGGCUUGCCGAGUUGAAUAAUUACGAAGAGUGCUGAAAAAAUCGAGUUUUGCAACGAGUUCCAUACAAAAUUUUAUGCGAUGAUUUUUUCAUUAUACAACUCAUUUGAAUUGCAUAAUGUUCAUAAUGCAACUCAAAUGGGUCACAUAAUGAACAUUAUACAACUAUUUUUCAUUAUGCAACCCAUUUCAGUUGCAUAAUGAACCGGUACGGAAAAGUAGGCCAUUAUGAUACUGAGAUGAAUAGUAUAAAAUAGAAAUUAUGAUACUGAAUUGCAUAAAACAUAUUUUCGCAUUAUUUUCUGCCUUACCCUGUAAAUUCACUCUUAUUUACCUUCUAUUUCUACCACAAUGUUUCACCACCAAAAAUGAUCUCAUCCGAAUGUAAAUAUAAAAUUAAUUCUAAAUUUUAUUAAGAAAAAUGUUGCCGAAGAUAUCAAGGUGUUUUUUAUCCGUUUUAAAGUUAUUCACGAUUUUCUGGGAGAAGGAAUUUGGAUUUUUAGGUAUUUUUCUAAAAUUAUCGCAUACGGACUGACCAAAAACAAAUACAAAGUGUAAAACCACCUAUGGUCAACCGGUUUUUGACUUGUGUUUAGUGACGGUUUCGUUGCCAAAUCCUUUUUUAUAUAGAAAAGAACUAGCGAGAAGCAAUUAUGAGAUGGGCAUUUUUUUAUUACCUAACAGGUUUGGGCCGAAGGGUCUCCGAUUUCAAUGAAAAUUUCACCAGAGCUAGAGGUCGUGGAUAUAUGAUCAUAUAUGGAAUUCAAAAAAAUCAUAGUGAACAAUUUUCCCGAAAAUGCUAGAUGAAAUUUCGCGAUUUUCCAAAAUUUUCUAAAAUACCCCAAACUCAAAAAAACAUAUCUCAGAAACUAUGCAUUGUAGAACAAACUUUUUUAGUGAAAUCGACGCCAAAUUACCUCAGCAUACCAAUAAAAAUACAUUGAGAAAAAAGUUUCUCAGAAAAUGUUUCACUAUAGAGAAAAAAAACGUCUAAAAAUGCUGAUAAAAGUACCGUCUGUAUCAUAGAUUAUUUUAAACAAAAUUUUUCCUAGCGCAAAAACUAAUGUUCUUCCUUUCAUUUUUUGACGCCAAAAUGGAAUCUCUUACCGUUUAUAGCCAAAAAACCAACGACUAGUCGUUAUAUUUUCAUAGGAAGCCAUCUACAACAGCGGCCGUUCACCUGUUGCAACACAUUUGUUUUUCAACGAGCAAAUGACAUACGCUAAUUGCAACGUAACUUUGACACUAACGUGAAUCGGAGUGCACUGACAGAACAUAUAUGGCACUUGAGUGCCCAUUAAAUGCAACAACUUAUCAAAUUUUGAAAUUAAUGGAUUUAUAACAAGAAAACGUUGCAAAUAACAUGUUUACAACGAGCAAACACAUAUUUCAACGUAUUUUUUUUUUCAAUCAAAGCAAUCAUACACAGCAAAAAUUUCUGAAAAUUACACCCGACGUAAAGAAAUUUGACGUAUAAGUUUCUAUUAUGUCUCAAUGAAUUUUACAAUAAACAAUUUCUUGUAUAGAAUUUUGAACACAAGCUUCAUACUGAGAGCAAGCUGUAAAUUUAAAAAAUGAUGGAAAAAUGUGUGUGAUAUGACGGGGUCCUUUUGUUACAGGUGAUACGAUGUAACAUUUUUUAACUGUGUAUGCAAACCAUUAGAGAUGAGUGGAUAUCAGGUAACUAUAAGGUAUCUUUUAAAUUACACAUGUAAAGCUUUGUUUUGUUUUUAUAGUGUUUUGAUGCUUAAAUGUUCAUUGGUAUGUGGAUUCUUCUAUACACCAUAAAGAGACUAUUUUCCACUAAAUAUUUAGUAAAUAGCAUGGUCUGUGCAUAAUGUGUUUGUAUAAUGUGCUUCAGAAGAAACACUUAUUUAAAAAUUAACAGAACUUUACAUACAUACAUACAAACCAUAGAUGAGAGGAACAAACAUGUACUCUCUGGAGCGGAUCUGGUGUGAUGGUUAAAGCCCGUGACUGUCACGCCGAGGAUCUGGGAUCCCACUACUCACGAAAUGUGAGUUCUUCAUUCGGAAGGGUAGUAAAGUAUGGGUCCCGAGAUGAACUAGCCUAAGGCUAAAAAUCUCGUUAAUACAGAUAAAAAACAUGUACUAAUUAGUACGGGCAACAAAUUAAAACCAAGAGUUUACCAUGCCUACAACUUCUUAACGCGCUGAUAAAUCAUUGUUGCUUGAAACCAAGCUUUUCCUGUUCUAAGAAGCGACACAAUUCCAACAGUGACGAUAAUAAUGUUUAGCAAUGGUUAGCAAAGAUUAAUACCGAGCUCGGUAUAGAGCUACUGAGUUGACAACAGUUGAGGCAGCGCGGUACGCUGGAGGGUCGAUCAUUACCGUUAAAGUAAGUAUUGACAUUAAUUAAUAAAAAAAACACUGAAAUGUAAUAUCAAUUCAUCACUUUUUUUCGAACUAACGGUUUGUUGUCAAAAAGACUUCAUCAGUUUUGAGAACUAUCAUGACAAACCCAUUCUACUACCCAUAAUAUAUUCGAAUCAACCAAUAAAUCGGUGCACGGUUCGAAUGAUUAAAAUUAUUUAAUGCUCUAAGUUGUCAAGUAAAUGUUUAAUUCCAAGAAAUCCUCUAACGUCCUCAUUUUUAUUCACUUCCUGUGCAUUUCUGAAGCUCCAUGGAUCAAAAUUGGAUCCUUAACUAUAUCUUUUGAAAAUUUCUAGAAUGCUUUCUUUAUUUCUGAACGAAGCAAAAGAAUUAUAAUCAAAAAUACUACACAACUAUGCACUUUUGCUACUUACACAGUUAGCCAUACUAAGUUGACCAUGCUAUUUUUUACAGUUACAGAUAAUAUAACGUACGAAUAUUACGCAUUAUAUUCUCAUCUAUUUCAAAUUUAAAUUUAAAAAAAAUCUAUUCAAGUGGAGUGCUCAAUAUUAGCGAAGAAAAUAAAUAAAGCGUUCGUUUUUUAGAUAAACCGAUAAAUUUGAGGAUCAAUUUAAAUUUUGCUGAGCGCAAAUUUUUGAUGUAUGUUAAUGGUUAAAUGAAAAAUAUGAUAGCAUGGCGUUCAUUAUCUAUGUUUUUAUUAUCAACACGACGUCUCCAUUGCCUUUUUCCGGACAGAUCUACAAAGAUAGGUAUAUUCUGUUAUUGAGCACAAAUCCAAGAGAUAUUGGGCUAGUGCGAAUGAAAAGCUCGUUCUUUCUGCGUAAGAAAAUCGACGAGGAAACUAAGAAAACCUCGAAAAUAUAAAACAACAUUUUGCCGAGAUCAUAUUUAAAAAUGCAAUAGGCAGUAGGAUACAAUAUUUGCCAAGAGAUGUAGAUUAUUAUUUAGAUGGAAUUUCAUUUUAACCAUAAUUCCUAAACAUAAUCAAGUCAGGAUUCGUUUCAAGAGUGUAUGAAUGUGCCGUCUAUUUCGCGUUUUCACGUAGAGCGAUCAAUAGCGCUACGCCUUUCGGCAGUUUUCCACUGUAAAGUUUUUGUAAUCAUUUUUCGGGUGUGACUAUUAAGGAAAAGGUAUUUGGAGUACAUAGCUCAAAAUUUCUAGAACACCGUUUUUCGGAACCGUUGAACGGAUUUGGAUGAAAAUGCAUCACGCUAAUUGUUCAGUAGUUGUCAACAACAGUGCUGUAAAUUUUCGACAGGCCUUUAUGAUAGCGAAAUUUUGCUUUUUUCAUUUUCUCCAUUUUGGUUUUCUUGUCAUUGUUGCUUUCCGAUCAGCAACACGGGAGCAAAAUGAAAUACAGGGGAUGGCCAAAAUGUUUGGGAUAGGCAACUGUUUUUCUCUCACAAAAAAUAAUCAACAUACUGUAACUUUCCAUAGAGUGCAUCAAAAAAUCUCAAAUUUUGACUGUUUAUCAACCUGUUAUAUGUGCAUCAUUGGUACAAAUUUGGGCUCGAUUGAAUAGUUUUUCACGAAGUUAGAACCGUUCGGGUAAAACACAAUUUUUUAGACAACUCAUUUUUGAGCUGUCAUAUCUCGGAAACCAGAGAACUAAAUUGAAUGAUUUUUUUAACGUUUAUCAACAAUAUAUUGAUACUUAAUACAACGUUAUAAAAUGUAUUAUUUUUUCCCGGUAAAUUAAGUUAUACCGGGUUGAAAUUUUUACCCAUAUAGAGGAAAAUUAGUCAAAUUUACAAUACCACACUAAAAUUACUAAAUGUGUUCUUCCUUCAAGCUAAAUUGGCUCUAAUAUAUCUGAAUAAAGAUAACUUGAGAACAGAAGUGGAAAAUCUUUGGGUAUCUACACUAAAAUUUAUUGACAUUCACGUGAAAAAAAUUCCUUUUUUCGAGAAAAAUCCAAAAAGUGUCUAUCUAUGAUAACUUUUUUCAACGUUCAAAAAGUAUCUAUGUUUUAAUAGUUUGUGAAGCAUUUGUAUAUUGUUAGUGUACGUUCAAAAUUUCAUGCAAUUCGGUUCACUGGUUUCCGAGAUAUGACAGCUCAAAAAUGAGUUGUCUAAAAAAUAGUGUUUUACCCGAACGGUUCUAACUUUGCGAAAGAUUAAUCAAUCGAGCCCAAAUUUGUACCAAUGAUGCACAUAUACUAGGGUGACAAACAGUCAAAAUUUGAGAUUUUUUGAUGCACUCUAUGAAAAGUUAUAGCAUGUUGAACUUUUUUGUGAGAGAAAAAAAGGUGCCUAUCCCAAACAUUUUGGCCAUCCCCUGUAGGUAGGUACUCACAGUCGCACGCAGCGUGCUGAAAGCGAGAGCUGACAGGGCAAAAUUUCCAUUCAAUUUUCUGUAGUUGAGUGUUUUCACCCGUGGUAGCGUAUAGGGCACUCACUCUCACAAGCCACCGCUUGAGACGAAUGGCCUGUCAGGGGUUCAUUCGAAUAUUACGUAACGUCAAGGGGGGGGGGGGGGGGAGGGAGUCUAGCACUGUGUUACGCUUCAUACAAAAUUUAAAAAUUCCCCAUACAAAAGUUGUUACGUGGGGGAGGGGGCUCAAAAUUGUAUAAUUUUGCGUUACGUAAUAUUUGAAUGAAUCCCAGCAUGAGUAGUACACCCUAAAACAAAAGUACACAGCGAAUGAGUAACUUGCGAAAAGACAAAGGAUUUUUCACUCAUAUUUGCGUGCGACUGGAUCAGCACAAAAAAUGUGCUGAUCCGGGUUUACACAAAUUUGCGUGAAUUUUCACACAAGUUUGCAUGAAACCUUUUGUCUUUUCAAUCGCUGCGUGAAAGUUACUCCUUGCUCUGUGUACAUCGAUCUUUCCGUGUACGUGGAUGAUUGGGAAUUAAUCUUGUUUGGCCGCUCACAAAUAGAGCUCUCGAACUGUGUCAGUUCUCACAUCAAGGAACUGAAAACGACCGCCGCACUCAUUCAUUUUUGGCUGAAAAUCAGGCACUGACAGUGAUAUUUUGCAGGCCUGCCCAACGACCCUUAAAAAUCCCUCAAUAUCUCCUUGAAGUCCCUAAUAUUCUUUAAAAAUCCCCAACUUCUCCUAGAUUGUCCAACUUGUUCGAUAGAUUCCCCAAAGGCAUCAUUUUCCGAAAAGACCUCCAUGAUUCCUAUGUUCCCUUUAUUCUCCCCAAUAUCUCCUAAAAUCCCCAAUAUCUCCUAAAAGUCCCCAAUGUUCAUUAAAAUCCCCAACUUCUCCUAAAAUGUCCAACUUGUUCGUUAGAUUCCCCAAAAGGUAUCAUCUUCCAAGAAGAACUCCAUGAUUCCUAUGUUCCCUUUAUUCUCCCCAAUAUCUCCUAAAAUCCCCAAUAUCUCCUAAAAGUCCCCAAUGUUCAUUAAAAUCCCCAACUUCUCCUAAAAUGUCCAACUUGUUCGUCAGAUUCCCCAAAGGUAUAAUUUUCCAAGAAGAACUCCAUGAUUCCUAUGUUCCCUUUGUUCUCCCCAAUAUCUCCUAAAAGUCCCCAAUCUUCUUUAAAAAUCCCCAACUUCUCAUAAAAUGUCCAACUUGUUCGUUAGAUUCGCCAAAGGCAGCAUUUCCCAGAAGCAGAAGACCCCCAUAAUUCCUAAGUUCUCUUAACCCUCCCCAAUAUCUCCAAAAAAUACCCAACGUUCCUAAAAAUCCCCAAUAUCUUCCUAAAGUUUUUUAUAAAUCCCCAACUUCUCGUAAAAUGUCCAACUUGUUCGUCAGAUUCCCCAAAGGCAUCAUUUCACAAGGAGACCCCCAUGAUUUCUAGACCAACAUGUGAAAAGGGCGGAUGUCCAAAAUGUUAGAAUCGAGAAAAACGCUUGCAAAGUUUCACAAUCUAAAACUAAUUCCUAUUUAACACUUUGUGCGUGUGCACCAAGGAUCGGUAUAUUCGCCUCACUCCAUUCAUAUUCACUCCUCUUUGCUGAAGCGAAUCAAGGAAGAGGCAGCAAACGGAUCGUCGUGAUCAAACACGCAACCCCAUCACCAGUGGGAAGCGAUGAGCUAGCUGCUUGACAUGAAUAUUCGUUGCCAUUCGUCGCAGUUUGGAUCGCAAGCGAAUGAAUGAAUGGCGAAUGGUGAAGAAUGCUGGUGAGCGAUCGAAGCGGCUAUUAUCAUAAGUAGAAGAGAAUUUCUGCAUGUAAUGCAUAUAUUUUUACUGUAUUGUUGUUGAAAUGCUAGAUUAGCAAAGAAAAUAACUUGAAAACAUCAAAAAUUCGUAUGCACAAUAUCAAUCGCAUCACUCACGAAUCGCAUUCGCUUGCGAUGCGAAUAUGAACGAAUGAGUAAUUUCCAAGUGUGGCUUCCCACCGUUCGCCGGAGUUUGCUGUCGUCGCUGACAAGCAUACACACGAACUAAAGCGACAACCGUUCGCUGCUGACUGUCUUCGAAUGUGGAAGAAGAUGAAAAGUGGAAAUCAGGAACCCUGGCACUCAAUCUUUUUCGUUGUUUUAGAAGAAAACACUAUCCUCUUGGUGAUGUUAUGUCAAAAAGUACAAACAAGCGUUUUUCCUUGAAGAAAAUGAAUGAAAUAAAAAUUACGCCUAAAUAAAAACUCAUUGGUCAUUACGCCCGACAUGCUACGCCGCUUGGUCGCCAGCACUGGAAUUACGCUUGGUCAAUAUUAGUGGAAUGCAAUAGAUUGUGAACCUAACCCACUGCAAUAAAUUGAUUUUGAAGCUUUCUUAACUAAAAGUAACUAAAUGAAGUUUAUCUGAUAUUGUACAAUGGAAGAGGAGGAAAAUUUUCUCUUGACGUUGCCUACGAUGAGUGGUAAAAAACAAUGAGUAAAAUGCAAUGGAAAUCAGAUUUCGGUUGCUCUUGGUUGGUUAUUCUAGCUCUUAUCUAUGAACAACAACUCUUUACAGUUUAUCUAAUAUCGUACAACAAAGGUGGGAGUUGUCCCUGCCAUUGCCCAAAAUGCGCGUUUGAAAAAAAAUAUAACUACAGUACCGAUGGGGAAGUGCAGGCAGCAUAUUAUGUUCCCAACAAGCCCGUGCACAAGAGAGGCGUUUUAGGGGGUUAAACUCCUCCCAUUGCCGAUACUCUACACCCAAGGCCUCCUCCACCCUUUGCAAAAAUUGGGUAAAACCCCUCCCUUGUCGCCUUUUCUGUGCACGGGCCUGGUCCCCAAUAUCACCUUUUGCUGAAUCUACCUGCUGUAACCUAUGCCGGUCAAUUGAUUUGAGACCAUUCGUCAAAAUUUUUAUCACUGAAGCUUUACCAGCUGCAUAUCAUCCAACUGUGGGUCCUUUGGAGAAAAUAUAUCCUGAAUAUACAUUGAAGCCAUGUUAUCGCCACUUCUUGCAGUUAGUCAGCGACUUUAUUGAAUUUUACGAUGAAAAACGCCCGAUUUGAUCUUGGGCGUAAGAACCAUCCGUGCGCAACAAGAGCAAUAAGUGCACGGCGGAUUUCCACUCAGACAUUUUGAUGGGCGCCGAAGCACGACGUAAUGACGAAGGCUUUUCAAUAACGGUGUAAGUAGUUUGGGGCGACUUUAAUCAAAAGUGGGAGUAAAAGUUUUGUGUAAAUUUGAUAAAUAUGAAUGGCGAGAUGGUGUUCUCGACUGUUUAUUCAACAGUGUUAACAAUUUUGUGCAUUUUUGUGCUUUUUUUCAAAGGCGCAAGAUCAUUGGCGGAACAACCAAAUGAAGUGAUCAUAAUCAUAUGUGGAAAUCCGCCUUUAUUUAAAUUAUUGUUUUCCAGAAGUGGAAACUUAUUUUUGAGCUAACGUCAGGAAAAAUCAUAUGUCUAUGAAUUGUUUCAUCAAAUUAUGCUGAAAAGUGAAUUGUUUACAUUUUGACUCUUCCGCCCUUUUCAAAUGUUGGUCUAGAUUUGAUCCAUAGGAAUUUAUUGCUGUAUGUUUUACAACUGAGCUGAGAAACAGGCUCUGUCUCAGUUGGGAUGUUAUGCCAGAAAUAUGAAGAAUCAUUAUCAUUACCCAUCAUACAUGUAGUGAAUUUGGAAAUGCAUCAAAUAAGUGCAUGCUCUAAAUUACCGCACGCACAGAACCCCCCCAUCUGAACAGCACCGCAGCAGACACGCAAAAAAGCCUACGCUUAAAAAUGAGUUCGGCCUGCACAUUUUUAGUACCUAAACAUCCAUGCCGCACAAUGACUGUGUUGGAAACACACAUUUGUAUAAAUUGCUCGUACGCUCACAUGAGCAUGUAUUUUGCAAUAAUUUCGACAUGGUAACCUUAUAAACCACCUUCAAAUACCGAAAAAUAUUGAUAUUUUGCAAAAAUGUGAGCGUACGAGCAAUUUUAAAAAAUGUGUGUUUCCAACACAAUCCAUGGGUGUUAACCAAAUAUGAGAGUUUUUAUUUUAGAGAGGAGCUACGAGUGCGAAGGAUUUAAAUGGUUGCUUUUGUAAAUAUACUUUCGUCGGCGGUUUCGCUCCGUCGAAAAACAAGUUAACUACACGUCGCACUUAGUAUGCGCACGCGUCUUUUGAAAUUCAAACUCCGCCUCGAAUGAUUCCGCAGGCGGAGAUGUGACGCGACAAAGAGCGAUCUCGUUUUCUGUACGCGAUGACAUCACCAGCAGCCAAGCCAGCAGCUGUAGUCGUCCUCAUGCCAGAGCGAUGACCAUUGUUUUGGCAUGAAGUUAAUGCAAUUUGGAACGUUAUUUUCAAAAUCAUUUUUUGACUUAACUACAACAGAUAGAGUUUUGGUGACAAAGAAACAUUUUUGGGGAACAAGUUCGUGCAUGUUUUGUAGAAGAACUUUUUUAACAAUAGCUUUAUUUUCAUAUUUAAAUCAUCAAAAAUGUCCGAAAAAGAGUGAUUUUUUUCAAUUUAAGGCCUUUUAAACUAUUUUUACAAAGUUUAUGUCCAAGAGACUAAGAAAGCUGAAGUUAUUAGCUUUCAAUUCGUGCGCUGAGAAAGUUUGUACGAUUGAUAGUUUAGUAGAUACAGGACUUCAAAGAUAAGCAAAAUUUAAAAACUUAAAAUGUGAUUAACUCACUUAGCAGUGACCCUAUGUUCCAUGGGAACUUUUUCAUCUCUCAUCAAGACCUAUCGGCCCUGAAAAUAUCCAAAACCCGGAACCAAACACCCUGUAUAUGACUUGUAAGCGUAUGCAAACAGCGACGACUUUUUGACUUGCUCUAUACACAACAAACUUAAUCCAAAACAAAACAAAGCAACGAUUUAUAUACAUACAAUGGGACUUGACAUUUUUUAUCACAAGAUUCAACAGAUUUUACGAUUUUGAUUGCUGACAGCGAGACAUACAACUUUGAAUGCACUUUCCAUUACGAUUUGAGGUUUACUGGGUAAGAGUGUAUUGGUGCGAGUAUGAAGAUUUACACACAUAUCACCUUAACCCGUGGUGGCGCUGCUAACAGUGACUUUGAUUUUGAGCAGUGCUGUAAGUCUUCUUGAUAAAGUAGUCUUCGGCAUUAUACAGGGUGCUAGUGAGAUGCCAAACGAUGUUUUUGAAACAAAUUUUCUUCUAAGAUAUAUGUCUGUUUGUCUGUGAUUCUAUCAGAAGCUUAACGCAUUCCGCAACUGCUUCGUGCCGCGAGGAAUAAAGAUGGGGGUCUUUUGGCGGACUGGCGUGAGGUGAUUGAAAUGUGGAAGCAGCACUUCGAUGAGCAUCUGAACGGCGUGGAGAAUGUAAUCACGGGAUACCAAUUCAACGAAUGGAACAACUACGCCAAAGCAGUUGAAGACGAAAAUUAUCCUACUCCCACGCUGAGGGAAGUUAACCAUCCAUUUAGGAGGUAUUUAUAAACCACGUAGACUAAAAUUUGAUCAUUUCAAACAUGUUUUGAAACAACUACUUGUUUGCAGUUUUGCUACAGGGUAUAUUCCCAAAUCCUGGCGGGAUAUUACUGUGAAGUUUAUUCCGAAAGUAGGUCGUGCGUCGUAUGAAGAAGCAAAGAGCUUCACACGGACAGAAAUGUGUUCUGAUUCAUAUAACUUUUUCCAUAGUUCUCUCAAGCUUCGGAGAUAUUUUUGGCAUAAUUGCUUAAAAUGGUUGAUUCACAAUGAUUUGAUGUCUGCAUCAAGCAUACACACUAAGUUUUUUUCGCCGAAUCUCGGCAAACCGAUUGCCGAGAUUGGCACCGCCGAGUGCUCGGCAACCACCUCAGCAAAAAAUAGAUUUGCCGGGAACUCGGCAAUCACAAUAAUGACAGCUAUCAAUAUUUUGCCGAGAUUCUCAGCAAAUAUAUUUGCUGAGUGCUCGGCAAAAUCAUUUCUAAGUACGAAUGGAUUUGCUGAAUCUCGGCAUUUUGUAUUGUUUAUGUUUUGCAGAAUGGAAGAAAAAAAGUUAAAAAGAAUAUUUUGCGCUCGCACGGGAACAGAAUGGAAAGGUUUUAUUCGUAUAUAUUUUUCAAUUUUUUCAAAGAAAUGUCGUACAGAAUAAUCAGUUUGUUGCUUCAAAUGUUCAUUCCGUUUCACAAGCAAACACAUUGAAUCAAUAAUUUAUCGGCUUCCCCAACGCGAACACCUCCCUGAAGUACAGCGUCAAAUGGCGUCAAACUGGCAUUCUGUAAUCGAUUAAAUAUGUAAAUUAUCAGUAAUAAGUACUUACAAAAAGAUAUCACAUUCUUACAAAUUUACACACACUUCGUUUGAAAAAUCACUUGAUUUGAAAUAUAUGAUGUAGAUUCAGCACUUUCAGCACCAGCACCUGUUGUGUUUUUUUUUUUUGGCAGACAUGGUAGCUGCAAAACUGACAGUUGUAUUGCCGAAAUUCGGUAAUCUCGUUUGCUGAUUUCAGUAAAAUUUAUGUUUACCGAUGGGCUCAGCAAACAAUGCUGUCAGUUUUCCAAGUUCUUAAACAAUUUGCUGAUAUUUCGGUAAAGCAUUUUGGACAAUCUCGGCGAAAACGUGUUGUUUGCUGAAAUAUCAGCAAAAUAUCGAGUUGCCGUUUGAAAUCAGCAAAUUUGUUUGCCGAGCUCGAGAAUCAGUUUUAAGUGUGUAUGUUUCGGUCAAAACAACAUCAUUGAACAUCAACCAUCAAAUGCUUAAACCAAGCAUAUAUGUCAUUACACUAACUUCUUGCUUGCCGAGACCUAGGCCGAGCUGCUGUCUACUCAGUUAUUGUUCAUGAUGGCGGUGGUGGUGUUAUAUUAUAUUGUGGAUCCUUUUUUCCUGGGGGAAUGAAAAGUGUGCGUCUGGUAAUAAUCAAUCUUUAUGGAUUUCGCCGCUUCGGCUUCAGGUGCAGCUCAAAAUAGUACAUCACCAAACCCGAAAUGCAGCAGCCGCAGCACAAAAACCGGAGCAAGAACAAACCACCGGACGGAAUCAUCGCAAGCCUGUUAAGACCGCUCGGUUCGGAUAAGGGUACCCAGCCUCCUCAGAAUCAUUCUGAGUUAUCCAAUCUACAAAAGCCGGAGAGAAAAAAUUAUUCUUCCUGGACGGUUUCCGUUGGAUGGUGCAACCCUAGAAUCUAGAUCAACCCCAAGAAGAUGACCUGCUGAAGAUGCGCUGCAGUGAUGGAGUCCGGAAUCAACAACUUCUGCUAGUGCGCCAUACUCUCGGUUUGGCCGGCGACCGAUCGUAUCACGAAGUAAUUUUCUUGAAUCAUAAAUUAUUUGAACAGACUACCUAUGUAUUAAGUAAAAUAAAGGACUUUUCUUUGAUAAUUGAACAUUCCUGAAAUGGUGGUAGUUAGUGUAUUAUGUGACAAUUAUAACAUAUUGCACUAAAAUACGACCAUUAUAGAAAUGUUCAUCCAAAAUGUAAAGCUUUCGAUUUU